GCGUAGGGAAUGACUAGGUACAGGUAGGUACUCUCUUUGCUUAUGGCCUAAUAGAAAUAUCUGUCUCCACCUAAAUAAUAGGAUUUUGACCAGCUUUGGGUCAUAUUAUCACUAUACUUAUCAGCUAACUUAAUCGGUAGGUAAUUAAUUGGUUAACCACAAAAGGUUUUCUAAUGGCCAUAUCUCCAUUGAGAAUAGGAUUUUGCCUAGCUGUCUGUCACUUAACUUAAAGUAAACUAGAUAAAGUUCAAAACUAACAUCUGACUGUUGUAAGUAAUCAGCACU